GAGUUUGAUCAUGGCUCAGAACGAACGCUGGCGGCAGGCUUAACACAUGCAAGUCGAACGCCCCGCAAGGGGAGUGGCAGACGGGUGAGUAACACGUGGGAACAUACCCUUCGGUUCGGAACAACGUUUGGAAACGGACGCUAAUACCGGAUACGCCCUAUUGGGGAAAGGCUUGCUGCCGAAGGAUUGGCCCGCGUUCGAUUAGCUAGAUGGCGGGGUAAUGGCCCACCAUGGCGACGAUCGAUAGCUGGUCUGAGAGGAUGGCCAGCCACAUUGGGACUGAGACACGGCCCAAACUCCUACAGGAGGCAGCAGUGGGGAAUAUUGGACAAUGGGCGCAAGCCUGAUCCAGCCAUGCCGCGUGAGUGAUGACGGCCUUAGGGUUGUAAAGCUCUUUCGCACGCGACGAUAAUGACGGUAGCGUGAGAAGAAGCCCCGGCUAACUUCGUG
rnacentral:rRNA from 1 species